AGAAAGAGAAAGACAGAAACAAAUUACCCAAGAAAGAGAAAGAAAGAAAGAGAAAGAGAGAGAGAGAGAGGGUUGAAAAUGGUAUUGUGGGUUUAAAAGGCCAUAAACAGACAUGCUCUGCAAUUGCUCUGUUCUUGCCUCCAAUACCCUUCUUCUUCUUCUUCUUCUCUCUCUCUAAUUCUCCUUUGGCUUCUUUUCUGUUUUGUUUUUUGUCAAUAGUUUAUAUUAGCAUAUACCGGCUAGCUGCUAGCUUAGCCAUCAGCCAAUCGAUACUGCUUUGUCAAUUGGUGGUUUAACCUUUUAAUGCACAAUAUAUCAUUUAGCGUGCUCUGUUAAAAGAUUAUACGCCCUGUCCAAAGAGGAAGAGAGAGAGAAGGAGAGGCAUAGAUUGGGCAAAAGCCAAAAAGGGUUUUUGAAGGGAGGGUUUGGGCUUUCUUUCUUUCUUUCUCUUCUUUUAUUGUUAUAAAGAAUGAUUGGCUAUCCAGAGCUUCAACUCAAGUUAAUUUGUCUUGUUUCUUGAUUAUGGGAAGUGGGAGCUAACUUAUGCGAUCUUUUUUCUUUGGUAGCUUAUAACUGGACAACGUGUAUUUUCUUCAAUUCUUGAAUACCAGAGGAGAAAAGUAUAUGGCAAGAAUUUGAAAUUCUGGGGCGUUAAUGUCAAGGUAAUCCAAGAAAAAGAUAAGGAGAGGAUUUUUUUUUUCCUUUUUCUUCCUUUGUCAAAUUAAUAUAAGAGAUAACUUUCCAUUUAAACGAGAAUUAGCAUGCAAUAAAUUCUUAAACAAGCAUAAGUUUGAUUAUUGAACUCGUUUGUUAUCUCCAAACAAACAAAAGCAGCAGUUCUUUUGUUUUUUCGUUUUGUUAAAAAUGGAGAGGAACCAAUCUUUAGAAAUGCAAGAACCCAGCAUCGACACCGACAAGCUUAGUUAUGAAAUUUUUUCAAUUCUUGAAAGCAAAUUUCUGUUUGGCUACGAUGAUCAGAAGCUCUGGAUCCCCAAACAGAUCUCUCCUCCACCAACAGAGCCAGCAAAACUCGAGCCUUUUGUAUCACCACCUGUAGCCGCCGAUACUAAUGGCGUUUCUGCAAUCAAGAACCAGCGUGGAAAAAUCUGUAUACUCUCCAUCGACGGCGGAGGCAUGAGAGGGAUUCUUGCCGGCAAAGCAUUAGCCUAUUUAGAACACGUGCUUCAAACUAAAUCCGGCAAUCCUGACGCUAGAAUCGCCGAUUAUUUCGACGUCGCGGCUGGGACCGGUAUUGGUGGAAUUAUCACGGCCAUGCUUUUGGGUAGUAAAGAUCAUAACCGUCCGAUUAUGAAGGCGGAGGAUACGUGGCAGUUUCUAGCUGAUCAUGGUAAGAAAUUUUACCCUUUUGGUAAUGGCAGUGGAGGAGGGAAUGGAAGUGGGCGUGGUAGCAGCGGUGGUGUUUUUAAACGGUUAUUUAGAGGUGGUUCUGGUACGGCGGCCGCCACAUCCAGUUUGGAUAAUGUGAUGAAAGAGACGUUCUCGGAGAAAGGCCGGAGCUUAACGCUUAAAGAUACGUUAAAACCGGUUUUAAUCCCAUGCUACGAUCUUUCAAGCACGGCACCGUUUCUGUUCUCAAGAGCCGAUGCAUUGGAAACCGAUAGUUUUGAUUUCCGGCUAUGGGAAGUCUGCCGUGCUACAUCUGCUGAACCGGGUUUAUUCGAACCGGUUCAAAUGCGAUCCAUCGAUGGUCAGACCAAAUGUUUAGCGGUUGACGGCGGUUUGGCCAUGAGCAACCCAACGGCCGCCGCAAUUACGCACGUGCUCCAUAACAAGCAAGAAUUUCCAUUUGUGAGAGGAGUCGAAGAUUUGUUGGUGUUGUCUUUAGGAACAGGUCAGCUUCUUGAGGUCAAAUACGAUUUCGAAGAGGUUAAACACUGGAGGGCCAAACACUGGGCUCGACCCAUGGCUCGAAUUACAGAAGACGGUUCAGCCGAUUCGGUGGACCAAGCCGUAGCCAUGGCAUUUGGUCAGUGUAAGAGCAGUAACUACGUAAGAAUUCAGGCAAAUGGGUCAAGUUUAGGGAGGUGUGGGCCCAAUGUUGACACAGACCCUGGUCCUAACAAUGUCAAGAUGUUGAUUGCCAUAGCAGAAGAAAUGUUGAAGCAGAAAAAUGUUGAGUCAGUUCUGUUUGGGGGUAAAAGAAUUGGAGAGCAAAGUAAUUUUGAGAAAUUGGAUUGGUUUGCUGCUGAACUUGUUCUUGAACAUCAGAGGAGGAGCUGCAGAAUUGCUCCCACUGUGGCCUUCAAGCAAGCUGCCUCAAAACCCACCUAAGAUUCUACUUUCAACUGUUAUUUAGAACCAACCCCAAACAGAAACAAAGGGGUUAAAUAUAUAUAUAUAUAUAUUGAAGAGAAAGAAGAAAAGGAAGGGAAAAAAAAAAGGUAAUAUAAUAGCAGCUUUUACUUUUGAAAGUGAAGAAAUAGCAAAGAAAAACAGGAGGAAGAAAUUGAGAGAACAAGAUAAGUGGCAUAAAAGGGUGGAAGAUCUUAGUGGGAUACUUUGCCUAGCAGAGGACAGGCAUUGUGGUGACCACUACACCUUUCUACAAUGGCAAGUAACCAAGAAACAAAGAAAAAAAAAAACAAGCUCUUUUCAAGAGUCAAAACCAAAGUAGUAUCAGGUGUGAAUCUUUUUCAUGUCAAUAUUUAAGAUUUUAGAGUUUGGGGAAACAACUCUUUCCAUAUUUUUCUCCCGUUUUCCAUUUUCUUUUGUAUCAUUAUUGUUAUCGUUAUUGUCUUCUCUCUUUCUCUCUCUCUUUGCUUGGUCAUUUUCAACCUUUCUCUCAAGAAACUUGAGUGGGGGUGUUAGUGGGCUAGCUACUUUCUUAUGAUAUCCAAAUGUGUAAGUAUAACCAAAGUUCUUUGUCUGACCUUUGGUCUUUUAUUUAUUUAUUAAUUUUUUCUCUCCUUUUUUUUUUUUUUUCAAAAAUAGAUUAUUGUAGUGGUAGGGGAGACUUGAGAGUGGGUAGUAUCUUUUUUAAGCAACCAACCACAUCUCCUGGGAAUGAGAUAGAUCAUAGAUGGAUGGAGCAAUAUUUAUCUCUAUGUGUGUAUGAACUUUUUGCUUUAUUUGAAUUAUGGCAUUAUGAUUGUUUGGUGCAA